rnacentral:rRNA from 1 species
UACAGAGGUCCCAAGCGUUGUUCGGAUUCACUGGGCGUAAAGGGUGCGUAGGCGGUCGGGUAAGUCUGAUGUGAAAUCUCACAGCUUAACUGUGAAACUGCAUUGGAUACUAUCCGGCUCGAGGAAUGGAGGGGAGACUGGAAUACUUGGUGUAGCAGUGAAAUGCGUAGAUAUCAAGUGGAACACCAGUGGCGAAGGCGACUACCUGGCCUGUUCUUGACGCUGAGGCGCGAAAGCUAGGGGAGCAAACGGG